UCCGCAGGGGCCUGCCACGCCCGCCGUGAAAUUUCAGGGCUCAACCCUGAACCUGCGGCGGGUACGGGCGGGCUGGAGUGCAGGAUGGGCAGACGGAAUUCCAGGUGUAGCGGUGGAAUGCGUAGAUAUCUGGAAGAACACCGAUGGCGAAGGCGGUCUGCUGGCCUGCAACUGACCCUCAGGGACGAGAGCGUGGGUAGCAAACAG
rnacentral:rRNA from 1 species